rnacentral:rRNA from 1 species
GAUGAACGCUAGCUACAGGCUUAACACAUGCAAGUCGAGGGACCGGCGCACGGGUGAGUAACACGUAUCCAACCUGCCCUUUACUCGGAGAUAGCCUUUCGAAAGAAAGAUUAAUACCCGAUAUAAAGGGUGGGGAUGCGUGCCAUUAGGUUGUUGGUGAGGGAACGGCCCACCAAGCCUUCGAUGGCUAGGGGUUCUGAGAGGAAGGUCCCCCGCAUUGGAACUGGGACACGGUCCAAACUCCUACGGGAGGAAGCAGUGAGGAAUAUUGGUGAAUGAGCGGUAGCCGGAACCUGCCAAGUAGCGUGAAGGAUGAAGGCUUAUGGGUCGUAAAUUUCUUUUAUAUAAGAAUAUGUAUUAUAUGAAUAAGGAUCGGCUAACUCCGUGCCAGCAGCCGCGGUAAUUC